AAUCAACGCUGGCGGCGCGCCUAACACAUGCAAGUCGAACGAGAAAGUGGAGCAAUCCAUGAGUAAAGUGGCGUACGGGUGAGUAACACGUGGAUCAUCUACCUUUUAGUGAGGAAUAACCAUGGGAAACCGUGGCUAAUACCGCAUAAGCCCGAGAGGGGAAAGUCGCAAGACGCUGAAAGAGGAGUCCGCGGCCGAUUAGCUAGUUGGCAGGGUAAAAGCCUACCAAGGCAAAGAUCGGUAGCCGGCCUGAGAGGGCACACGGCCACACUGGCACUGAAACACGGGCCAGACUCCUACGGGAGGCAGCAGUGGGGAAUCUUGCACAAUGGGGGAAACCCUGAUGCAGCGACGCCGCGUGAGCGAUGAAGCCCUUCGGGGUGUAAAGCUCUUUCGUCAGGGAA
rnacentral:rRNA from 1 species